CAACUACUCCCUCUGUCCCAAAUUUGUUGUCUUAGAUUUGUCUAGAUACAUAUGUAUCUAAUACUAAAAUGUGACUUGAUACAUCCGUAUCUAGACAAAUCUAAGACAAGAAAUUUGGGACAGAGGGAGUAGUUG
rnacentral:pre_miRNA from 1 species